ACUGUUCCCCUUGCAAUCAUCUCACUAUUCUGCUCUAGUACCGUACUUGCUUCUUUUGGACUCUUCUGGUGACUCGCGAGUGCUGAAUAUUAGUGGAUGAGCUAAACCGAAGAUUUUGAGGGUUUGAAUAGAAAAUCUAGAGACGACGAAGAAGAACAAGAGAAAAUGCCGUGCUUAAACCUCUUCACGAAUGUUAGUCUCGAUGAAAUCGACAUCUCUUCAAUCCUCUCCGACGCUUCCAAAUCCGUUGCUAACAUCAUUGGCAAACCAGAAUCCUAUGUGAUGAUUGUGGUUAAAGGGUCAAUUCCGAUGUUAUUUGGCGGUACUGAUGAACCCACAGCUUACGGUGAGCUAGUAUCAAUUGGGGGUUUGAACUCUGAUACGAACAAGAAAUUGAGUGCUGCAAUUGCUACAAUUCUUGAAACAAAAUUGUCCGUUCCAAAAUCGAGAUUCUAUCUCAAAUUCCAUGACACUAAGGCACAUCAAAGUCAAGAAUUUGCACAGUGUUUACAUGCUUUACACCAGCACUAGAUACAUCGUUCUGACUUUGGAUGGAAUGGAACCACAUUCUGAAUAUCACUUCUGGAGAACGUGGAAUUAGCUGGAACAAACAGUGGAAACCCUGCUUUCAAUCAUUUUGAUGGAGUAAUACAUUAAGUUUUAGGAUGGACCAUAAAUGUUAUACAGUGAUCUACAUUACUCGAUAAAAAGUUGUGCAGUAAUUGUCAGGUUUAUAGUUCAGUUAAAGGGCAAUGUUCAUUCUCAAGGAGUCUGGUGUUUACCCAUUCAGGGGUGACGUAAAAUGUUCAC